rnacentral:rRNA from 1 species
UACGAAGGGGGCUAGCGUUGUUCGGAAUUACUGGGCGUAAAGCGCACGUAGGCGGAUUGUUAAGUUAGGGGUGAAAUCCCAGGGCUCAACCCUGGAACUGCCUUUAAUACUGGCAAUCUCGAGUCCGAGAGAGGUGAGUGGAAUUCCGAGUGUAGAGGUGAGAUUCGUAGAUAUUCGGAGGAACACCAGUGGCGAAGGCGGCUCACUGGCUCGGUACUGACGCUGAGGUGCGAAAGCGUGGGGAGCAAACAGG